rnacentral:rRNA from 1 species
UGAUUUCUUCGGAAUGAAACCAGAUAUGACUUAGUGGCGGACGGGUGAGUAACGCGUGGGUAACCUGCCUCAUACAGGGGGAUAGCAGUUGGAAACGACUGGUAAAACCGCAUAAGCGCACGGGGACGCAUGUUCUUGUGUGAAAAGCCGAGACGGUAUGAGAUGGACCCGCGUCUGAUUAGCUAGUUGGUGAGGUAACGGCCCACCAAGGCGACGAUCAGUAGCCGACCUGAGAGGGUGACCGGCCACAUUGGGACUGAGACACGGCCCAAACUCC